UACGUAGGCAGCAAGCGUUGUUCGGAGUUACUGGGCGUAAAGGGUGUGUAGGCGGUUGCUUAAGUUUUGUGUGAAAUCUCCCGGCUUAACUGGGAGGGUGCAGCGGAAACUAGAAUGCUAGAGGGUGGGAGAGGUAAGCGGAAUUCCUGGUGUAGCGGUGAAAUGCGUAGAUAUCAGGAGGAACACCUGUGGUGAAGACAGCUUACUGGACCACUUCUGACGCUGAGACACGAAAGCGUGGGUAGCAAACAGG
rnacentral:rRNA from 1 species